CUUGCGAUCGCUUGGUUUAAGCCUAAUUAAAGCACACGUCCCAUAAGGUCCGUGUUUUAAUUGCAUGUAUUAGCUCUAGAAUUACCACAGUUAUCCAAGUAACUGUU